GUUGCCCCAGAGAUGAGCCCAACACCCACCUUGCUGCUACCUCCAAAAGUGUGAAUUGAUGAGAACACUUCCACAAAGGUUUCUAUUUCGCAAGUGCCCAGGGCAGCACCCGCGCAGACGCCAAGGGAUCCCCAUCCCUCAGCCAGGCACACACAGCAGCCACUGCCCUUGGAUCCACACUCCCCAGAACAAGCUUCACAGCUCCAGCAUCCUUCAGACUGAAGAAUGAAGGAAACACCACAGUGCAAGUGUGCUGCUGCAGGAAGGGAUUUGUAAGAGUCUUCUCCUCCACCAGCCAUCUGAGCAGUGCUCCUCUCUCCCUGUUGAUCUCAUUCAGGCUGCAUUGAACCACUGCACCAAAGAGAAACCUCCUCCACUCCAACAAGAAAUUUGCAUCUUUUUCAUCUCUCUGACUGCUGCUACUGCC